UUGGUUAAGUUAGAAAGGGCGCACGGUGGAUGCCUUGGCACUAGGAGCCGAAGAAGGACGGGACUAACACCGAUAUGCUUUGGGGAGCUGUACGUAAGCGUUGAUCCAGAGAUUUCCGAAUGGGGGAACCCACUAUCUUUAGUCGGAUAGUAUCCUUACGUGAAUACAUAGCGUGAGGAAGGCAGACCCAGGGAACUGAAACAUCUAAGUACCUGGAGGAAGAGAAAGAAAAAUCGAUUUCCUGAGUAGCGGCGAGCGAAACGGAAAGAGCCCAAACCAAGAAGCUUGCUUCUUGGGGUUGUAGGACACUCUAUACGGAGUUACAAAAGAAAGUUAUAAAUGAAGCGGUCUGGAAAGGCCCGCCAAAGACGGUAACAGCCCGGUAGUUGAAAUAGCUUUCCCUCCAGAGUGGAUCCUGAGUACGGCGGAACACGUGAAAUUCCGUCGGAAUCCGGGAGGACCAUCUCCCAAGGCUAAAUACUCCCUAGUGACCGAUAGUGAACCAGUACCGUGAGGGAAAGGUGAAAAGCACCCCGGAAGGGGAGUGAAACAGUUCCUGAAACCGUGUGCCUACAAGUAGUUAGAGCCCGUUAAUGGGUGAUAGCGUGCCUUUUGUAGAAUGAACCGGCGAGUUACGAUUUGUUGCAAGGUUAAGCGGAAAAAGCGGAGCCGUAGCGAAAGCGAGUCUGAAUAGGGCGCAUAAGUAACAGGUCGUAGACCCGAAACCAGGUGAUCUACCCAUGUCCAGGAUGAAGGUAAGGUAAUACUUACUGGAGGUCCGAACCCACGCACGUUGAAAAGUGCGGGGAUGAGGUGUGGGUAGCGGAGAAAUUCCAAUCGAACUUGGAGAUAGCUGGUUCUCUCCGAAAUAGCUUUAGGGCUAGCCUCGAGGUAAAGAGUCAUGGAGGUAGAGCACUGUUUGGACUAGGGGCCCUUCUCGGGUUACCGAAUUCAGAUAAACUCCGAAUGCCAUGUACUUAUACUCGGGAGUCAGACUGCGAGUGAUAAGAUCCGUAGUCGAAAGGGAAACAGCCCAGACCACCAGUUAAGGUCCCCAAAUAUAUGUUAAGUGGAAAAGGAUGUGGGGUUGCUUAGACAACCAGGAUGUUGGCUUAGAAGCAGCCACCAUUGAAAGAGUGCGUAAUAGCUCACUGGUCGAGUGACCCCGCGCCGAAAAUGUACCGGGGCUAAACAUAUUACCGAAACUGUGGAUGAACCUCUUUAGAGGUUCGUGGUAGGAGAGCGUUCUAAGGGCGGUGAAGUCAGACCGGAAGGACUGGUGGAGCGCUUAGAAGUGAGAAUGCCGGUAUGAGUAGCGAAAGAAGGGUGAGAAUCCCUUCCACCGAAUAUCUAAGGUUUCCUGAGGAAGGCUCGUCCGCUCAGGGUUAGUCGGGACCUAAGCCGAGGCCGAUAGGCGUAGGCGAUGGACAACAGGUAGAGAUUCCUGUACCAGUGCUAAUUGUUUAACCGAUGGGGUGACACAGAAGGAUAGGGAAUCGCACGAAUGGAAAUGUGCGUCCAAGCAGUGAGUGUGAGAAGUAGGCAAAUCCGCUUCUCGCGAAGCAUGAGCUGUGAUGGGGAAGGAAAUUAAGUACGGAAGUUCCUGAUUUCACGCUGUCAAGAAAAGCCUCUAGGAAGAGUAGUACUGCCCGUACCGCAAACCGACACAGGUAGAUGAGGAGAGAAUCCUAAGGUGAGCGAGAGAACUCUCGUUAAGGAACUCGGCAAAAUGACCCCGUAACUUCGGGAGAAGGGGUGCUCUAUUAGGGUGCAAGCCCGAGAGAGCCGCAGUGAAUAGGCCCAGGCGACUGUUUAGCAAAAACACAGGUCUCUGCAAAACCGUAAGGUGACGUAUAGGGGCUGACGCCUGCCCGGUGCUGGAAGGUUAAGAGGAGUGCUUAGCUUCGGCGAAGGUACGAAUUGAAGCCCCAGUAAACGGCGGCCGUAACUAUAACGGUCCUAAGGUAGCGAAAUUCCUUGUCGGGUAAGUUCCGACCCGCACGAAAGGCGCAACGAUCUGGGCACUGUCUCAACGAGAGACUCGGUGAAAUUAUAGUACCUGUGAAGAUGCAGGUUACCCGCGACAGGACGGAAAGACCCCGUGGAGCUUUACUGCAACCUGAUAUGGAAUGUUUGUACCGCUUGUACAGGAUAGGUAGGAGCCGAAGAGACGUGUGCGCUAGCAUACGAGGAGGCAAUGGUGGGAUACUACCCUGGCUGUAUGACCAUUCUAACCCGCCACGCUUAGCGCGUGGGGAGACAGUGUCAGGUGGGCAGUUUGACUGGGGCGGUCGCCUCCUAAAGAGUAACGGAGGCGCCCAAAGGUUCCCUCAGAAUGGAUGGAAAUCAUUCGCAGAGUGUAA
rnacentral:rRNA from 1 species